UACGAAGGGUGCUAGCGUUGUCCGGAUUUAUUGGGCGUAAAGAGCGUGUAGGCGGCCAGGUAGGUCUGCUGUUAAAACUCGAGGCUCAACCUCGAGACGUCGGCGGAAACCAUCUGGCUAGAGUCCGGAAGAGGAGAGUGGAAUUCCUGGUGUAGCGGUGAAAUGCGCAGAUAUCAGGAAGAACACCCGUGGCGAAGGCGGCUCUCUGGGACGGUACUGACGCUGAGACGCGAAAGCGUGGGGAGCGAACAGG
rnacentral:rRNA from 1 species